rnacentral:rRNA from 1 species
GACGAACGCUGGCGGCGUGCUUAACACAUGCAAGUCGAACGGAAAGGCCCUGCUUUUGUGGGGUGCUCGAGCGGCGAACGGGUGAGUAACACGUGAGUAACCUGCCCUUGACUUUGGGGAUAACUUCAGGAAAACUGGGGGCUAAUACCGGAUAGGAGCUCCUGCUGCAUGGUGGGGGUUGGAAAGUUUCGGCGGUUGGGGAUGGACUCGCGGCUUAUCAGCUUGUUGGUGGGGUAGUGGCUUACCAAGGCUUUGACGGGUAGCCGGCCUGAGAGGGUGACCGGCCACAUUGGGACUGAGAUACGGCCCAGACUCCUACGGGAGGCAGCAGUGGGGAAUAUUGCACAAUGGGCGGAAGCCUGAUGCAGCAACGCCGCGUGCGGGACGACGGCCUUCGGGUUGUAAACCGCUUUCGCCUGUGACGAAGCGUGAGUGACGGUAAUGGGUAAAGAAGCACCGGCUAACUACGUG